rnacentral:rRNA from 1 species
UACGGAGGAUGCGAGCGUUAUCCGGAUUUAUUGGGUUUAAAGGGUGCGCAGGCGGCGAGUUAAGUCAGCGGUAAAUUUCGGGGCUCAACCCCGACAAGCCGUUGAAACUGGCUUGCUAGAGUGGGCGAGAAGUAUGCGGAAUGCGUGGUGUAGCGGUGAAAUGCAUAGAUAUCACGCAGAACUCCGAUUGCGAAGGCAGCAUACCGGCGCUCAACUGACGCUCAGGCACGAAAGCGUGGGUAGUCGA